GUGGAUUAGAUACCCUAGUAGUCCACGCCGUAAACGAUGAGCGCUAGGUGUUGGGGGUAUUGACCCCCCCAGUACCGCAGCUAACGCGUUAAGCGCUCCGCCUGGGGAGUACGGCCGCAAGGCUAAAACUCAAAGGAAUUGACGGGGGCCCGCACAAGCGGUGGAGUAUGUGGUUUAAUUCGACGCAACGCGCAAAACCUUACCUGGGUUAAAUCCACUCGAACCUGCCAGAAACGGUGGGGUGUCUUCGGAAGCGAGUGAGAAGGUGCUGCACGGCUGUCGUCAGCU
rnacentral:rRNA from 1 species